rnacentral:rRNA from 1 species
GGCGAACGGGCGAGUAAUACAUCGGAACGUGCCCAGUCGUGGGGGAUAACGUAGCGAAAGUUACGCUAAUACCGCAUACGAUCUAAGGAUGAAAGCGGGGGACCGUAAGGCCUCGCGCGAUUGGAGCGGCCGAUGUCAGAUUAGGUAGUUGGUGAGGUAAAGGCUCACCAAGCCGACGAUCUGUAGCUGGUCUGAGAGGACGACCAGCCACACUGGGACUGAGACACGGCCCAGACUCCUACGGGAGGCAGCAGUGGGGAAUUUUGGACAAUGGACGCAAGUCUGAUCCAGCCAUUCCGCGUGCAGGACGAAGGCCUUCGGGUUGUAAACUGCUUUUGUACGGAACGAAAAAGCUCUUACUAAUACUAGGAGUCCAUGACGGUACCGUAAGAAUAAGCACCGGCUAACUACGUGCCAGCAGCCGCGGUAAUACGUAGGGUGCAAGCGUUAAUCGGAAUUACUGGGCGUAAAGCGUGCGCAGGCGGUUAUAUAAGACAGAUGUGAAAUCCCCGGGCUCAACCUGGGAACUGCAUUUGUGACUGUAUAGCUAGAGUACGGCAGAGGGGGAUGGAAUUCCGCGUGUAGCAGUGAAAUGCGUAGAUAUGCGGAGGAACACCGAUGGCGAAGGCAAUCCCCUGGGCCUGUACUGACGCUCAUGCACGAAAGCGUGGGGAGCAAACAGGAUU